GGGUUGUGAGGUUAAGCGACUAAGCGUACACGGUGGAUGCCCUGGCAGUCAGAGGCGAUGAAGGACGUGCUAAUCUGCGAAAAGCGUCGGUAAGGUGAUAUGAACCGUUAUAACCGGCGAUGUCCGAAUGGGGAAACCCAGUGCAAUUCGUUGCACUAUCGUUAACUGAAUACAUAGGUUAACGAGGCGAACCGGGGGAACUGAAACAUCUAAGUACCCCGAGGAAAAGAAAUCAACCGAGAUUCCCCCAGUAGCGGCGAGCGAACGGGGAGCAGCCCAGAGUCUGAAUCAGCUUGUGUGUUAGUGGAACGGUCUGGAAAGUCCGACGGUACAGGGUGAUAGUCCCGUACACCAAAAUGCACAGGCUGUGAACUCGAAGAGUAGGGCGGGACACGUGGUAUCCUGUCUGAAUAUGGGGGGACCAUCCUCCAAGGCUAAAUACUCCUGACUGACCGAUAGUGAACCAGUACCGUGAGGGAAAGGCGAAAAGAACCCCGGCGAGGGGAGUGAAAAAGAACCUGAAACCGUGUACGUACAAGCAGUGGGAGCACCUUCGGGUGUGACUGCGUACCUUUUGUAUAAUGGGUCAGCGACUUAUAUUCUGUAGCAAGGUUAACCGUAUAGGGAGCCGCAGGGAAACCGAGUCUUAACUGGGCGUUAAGUUGCAGGGUAUAGACCCGAAACCCGGUGAUUCAGCCAUGGGCAGGUUGAAGGUUGGGUAACACUAACUGGAGGACCGAACCGACUAAUGUUGAAAAAUUAGCGGAUGACUUGUGGCUGGGGUGAAAGGCCAAUCAAACCGGGAGAUAGCUGGUUCUCCCCGAAAGCUAUUUAGGUAGCGCCUCGUGAACUCAUCUUCGGGGUAGAGCACUGUUUCGGCUAGGGGUCAUCCCGACUUACCAACCCGAUGCAAACUACGAAUACCGAAGAAUGUUAUCACGGGAGACACACGGCGGGUGCUAACGUCCGUCGUGAAGAGGGAAACAACCCAGACCGCCAGCUAAGGUCCCAAAGUCAUGGUUAAGUGGGAAACGAUGUGGGAAGGCACAGACAGCCAGGAUGUUGGCUUAGAAGCAGCCAUCAUUUAAAGAAAGCGUAAUAGCUCACUGGUCGAGUCGGCCUGCGCGGAAGAUGUAACGGGGCUAAACCAUGCACCGAAGCUGCGGCAGCGACACUAUGUGUUGUUGGGUAGGGGAGCGUUCUGUAAGCCUGCGAAGGUGACCUGUGAGGGUUGCUGGAGGUAUCAGAAGUGCGAAUGCUGACAUAAGUAACGAUAAAGCGGGUGAAAAGCCCGCUCGCCGGAAGACCAAGGGUUCCUGUCCAACGUUAAUCGGGGCAGGGUGAGUCGACCCUAAGGCGAGGCCGAAAGGCGUAGUCGAUGGGAAACAGGUUAAUAUUCCUGUACUUGGUGUUACUGCGAAGGGGGACGGAGAAGGCUAUGUUAGCCGGGCGACGGUUGUCCCGGUUUAAGCAUGUAGGCUGAUUGUCCGUGCAAAUCCGGAUAAUCAAGGCUGAGGUGUGAUGACGAGGCACUACGGUGCUGAAGUAACAAAUGCCCUGCUUCCGUGAAAAGCCUCUAAGCAUCAGGUAACAUCAAAUCGUACCCCAAACCGACACAGGUGGUCAGGUAGAGAAUACCAAGGCGCUUGAGAGAACUCGGGUGAAGGAACUAGGCAAAAUGGUGCCGUAACUUCGGGAGAAGGCACGCUGGUGUGUAGGUGAAGUCCCUGCGGAUGGAGCUGAGACCAGUCGAAGAUACCAGCUGGCUGCAACUGUUUAUUAAAAACACAGCACUGUGCAAACACGAAAGUGGACGUAUACGGUGUGACGCCUGCCCGGUGCCGGAAGGUUAAUUGAUGGGGUUAUCCGUAAGGAGAAGCUCUUGAUCGAAGCCCCGGUAAACGGCGGCCGUAACUAUAACGGUCCUAAGGUAGCGAAAUUCCUUGUCGGGUAAGUUCCGACCUGCACGAAUGGCGUAAUGAUGGCGGGCUGUCUCCACCCGAGACUCAGUGAAAUUGAACUCGCUGUGAAGAUGCAGUGUACCCGCGGCAAGACGGAAAGACCCCGUGAACCUUUACUAUAGCUUGACACUGAACAUUGAGCCUUGAUGUGUAGGAUAGGUGGGAGGCUUUGAAGCGUGGACGCCAGUCUGCGUGGAGCCAACCUUGAAAUACCACCCUUUAAUGUUUGAUGUUCUAACGUUGGCCCCUUACCGGGGUUGCGGACAGUGUCUGGUGGGUAGUUUGACUGGGGCGGUCUCCUCCCAAAGCGUAACGGAGGAGCACGAAGGUUAGCUAAUCCUGGUCGGACAUCAGGAGGUUAGUGCAAUGGCAUAAGCUAGCUUGACUGCGAGCGUGACGGCGCGAGCAGGUGCGAAAGCAGGUCAUAGUGAUCCGGUGGUUCUGAAUGGAAGGGCCAUCGCUCAACGGAUAAAAGGUACUCCGGGGAUAACAGGCUGAUACCGCCCAAGAGUUCAUAUCGACGGCGGUGUUUGGCACCUCGAUGUCGGCUCAUCACAUCCUGGGGCUGAAGUAGGUCCCAAGGGUAUGGCUGUUCGCCAUUUAAAGUGGUACGCGAGCUGGGUUUAGAACGUCGUGAGACAGUUCGGUCCCUAUCUGCCGUGGGCGCUGGAGAAUUGAGGGGGCUGCUCCUAGUACGAGAGGACCGGAGUGGACGCAUCACUGGUGUUCGGGUUGUCAUGCCAAUGGCACUGCCCGGUAGCUAAAUGCGGAAGAGAUAAGUGCUGAAAGCAUCUAAGCACGAAACUUGCCCCGAGAUGAGUUCUCCCUGAGACUUUAAGUCUCCUGAAGGAACGUUAAAGACGAUGACGUUGAUAGGCCGGGUGUGUAAGCGCAGCGAUGCGUUGAGCUAACCGGUACUAAUGAACCGUGAGGCUUAACCUUACAACGCCGAAG
rnacentral:rRNA from 1 species